CACUUCGUGACAAGUACGCCUGCGCAAAUCAUCUUCCCAGCGUUCCUGGCGCCCCUUCUGCCCCGCUUGAAGGCCUUGCCUAUCCUCUCUGGUGGCGUGUGCUUCGUCGUGCGACCGACUCUUGCGCUCACUUGACGGGUCAUGCUUCACCUGUCUGUGCUCUGCCGCCGUGCACUCCAGGUCGGCCUGCAACCCAGCCGCCACCUCGCUCACUCAGAGCCCCGGCACCAGCGGAACGCGUCCCCUGCUGAAAUGGCUGUUGGAAUUGUGGUGUUUUUUAGCACCUUUUAAACUCCAGCUGCAUAUGUGCUAAGCAAUCUGAACCAGUUCAGAAGAUGGUAGAUGGAAGAUGUUGAGCAGCAGUUGAGGUCCAAAAAACUUUCAGAAGAAACUGUGACUUUAAAUGAGCAGAAGUGCUUAAGUUGGGUUCAUUGUGGGCAUUGAGUUUCAAAACCAUAUGUUUAUGAUAAAUAUUUUGCACUUUUUUAGUACUGUGCAUUAUAUAAAUGUGUAGUCAAAAAACACUGUUCUGUUUAAAUGUUAAAUAAAAUUGAAACACUUAUUCAUGCUCUGUAUAUGUUUGAUCACAGAUUGUUUCCUUCUUUUUUUUCUUGCAGUGCUAGGGUUGAUCCCAAGGCCUAGUGCAUGCUAGACAAGUGCUCUAUCAUGCUAGCCUGCACAGAUGAAAAUUUACUUCUGAAAAAUACAAUGAUAACUGCUAUGAGAGAUUUACUGACUUGGAGUGACAUGAAGUACUAUUUCGUGGUCAUGAAUGUAUCUAGUGUCAUAAGGUUGCCUUUCAGGUUUGAAGCAUCACAUGUAGGUUUGAAUGUCACCCUGGAUGACUCUCGACAGCACAGGUCAACUCUGAGUCUCAGUUUCCAUACCUCAAUAAUGGAAACUUAAAAUUGCUCUAUUGAAGGGAUGAUGUGGAGAUUAAGACAUUGAACAAAGAUAAAGCAACUCUCAGCAUAGUGCCUGAAACCAAGUAAAUAAAUAAAAAUUAUUGUUGAGAAGCUGUUUUUAUGUUUCCUAAGACUUAUUGAUUUAAAAAAUACUGCUAUACAAGAGCCAAGAUGCAUUAUGUAAAG
ensembl:lncRNA